rnacentral:rRNA from 1 species
AUUGAACGCUGGCGGCAGGCCUAACACAUGCAAGUCGAACGAGUGGCGGACGGGUGCGUAAUUUCUGGGAACCUGCCUGAUGGAGGGGGAUAACUACUGGAAACGGUAGCUAAUACCGCAUACCAUCAGAUGUGCCCAGAUGGGAUUAGCUAGUUGGUGGGGUAACGGCUCACCAAGGCGACGAUACCUAGCUGGUCUGAGAGGAUGACCAGAGACACUGGAACUGAGAAGCGGUCCAGAGUCCGACGGCAGGCAGCAGUGGGGAAGAUUGCACAAUGGGCGCAAGACUGAUGCAGCCAUGCCGCGUGUAUGAAGAAGGCCUUCGGGUGGUAAAGUACUUUCAGCGGGGAGGCGUUACCCGCAGAAGAAGCACCGGCUAACUCCGUGCCAGCCGCCGCGGUAAUAC